AUUGAACGCUGGCGGCAGGCCUAACACAUGCAAGUCGAACGGUAACAGGAAGCAGCUUGCUGCUUUGCUGACGAGUGGCGGACGGGUGAGUAAUGUCUGGGAAACUGCCUGAUGGAGGGGGAUAACUACUGGAAACGGUAGCUAAUACCGCAUAACGUCGCAAGACCAAAGAGGGGGACCUUAGGGCCUCUUGCCAUCGGAUGUGCCCAGAUGGGUUUAGCUAGUAGGUGGGGUAACGGCUCACCUAGGCGACGAUCCCUAGCUGGUCUGAGAGGAUGACCAGCCACACUGGAACUUAGACACGGUCCAGACUCCUACGGGAGGCAGCAGUGUGGAAUAUUGCACAAUGGGCGCAAGCCUGAUGCAGCCAUGCCGCGUGUAUGAAGAAGGCCUUCGGGUUGUAAAGUACUUUCAGCGGGGAGGAAGGGAGUAAAGUUAAUACCUUUGCUCAUUGACGUUACCCGCAGAAGAAGCACCGGCUAACUCCGUG
rnacentral:rRNA from 1 species